UACGUAGGCAGCGAGCGUUGUUCGGAGUUACUGGGCGUAAAGGGUGCGUAGGCGGUUGUUUAAGUUUGGUGUGAAAUCUCCCGGCUCAACUGGGAGGGUGCGCCGAAUACUGAAAGACUAGAGUGCGGGAGAGGAAAGUGGAAUUCCUGGUGUAGCGGUGAAAUGCGUAGAUAUCAGGAGGAACACCGGUGGUGUAGACGGCUUUCUGGACCGUAACUGACGCUGAGACACGAAAGCGUGGGUAGCAAACAGG
rnacentral:rRNA from 1 species